rnacentral:rRNA from 1 species
GGAGGAAAAGAAACUAACGAGGAUUCCCCCAGUAACGGCGAGUGAAGCGGGAAGAGCCCAGGUUGAAAAUUUAGAUCCAUGAGUGUCUAAAAUUGUAGUCUAGAGACGGUGUUUCCAGUUGUUGGUAUGUGCUUUAGGUUCCUUGGAAGAGGACGCCAUAGAGGGUGAGAGUCCCGUUUAGGCACGUGUUGGCAGCGUCCGGGUAUUGUUCUACGAGUCGAGUUGCUUGGGACUGCAGCUCCAAGUUGGUGGUAAAUUCCAUCAAAGGCUAAAUAGCGGCGAGAGACCGAUAGCGAACAAGUAGCGUGAGCGA